AUGAACGCUGGCGGCGCGCCUAAUACAUGCAAGUCGAGCGAGAAGACGUAGCAAUACGUUUGUAAAGCGGCGAACGGGUGAGGAAUACAUGGGUAACCUACCCUAGAGUGGGGAAUAACUAGCCGAAAGGUUAGCUAAUACCGCGUACGCUCCUUGGACUUCGGUUCAGGGAGGAAAGCGAUACCGAGGGUAUCGCGCUCUUGGAUGGGCUCAUGUCCUAUCAGCUUGUUGGUGAGGUAACGGCUCACCAAGGCUUCGACGGGUAGCUGGUCUGAGAGGACGAUCAGCCACACUGGCACUGCGACACGGGCCAGACUCCUACGGGAGGCAGCAGUAAGGAAUAUUGCGCAAUGGGCGAAAGCCUGACGCAGCGACGCCGCGUGGGGGA
rnacentral:rRNA from 1 species